rnacentral:rRNA from 1 species
AGUCGUAACAAGGUUUCCGUAGGUGAACCUGCGGAAGGAUCAUUAAAGAGUAAGGGUGCUCAGCGCCCGACCUCCAACCCUUUGUUGUUAAAACUACCUUGUUGCUUUGGCGGGACCGCUCGGUCUCGAGCCGCUGGGGAUUCGUCCCAGGCGAGCGCCCGCCAGAGUUAAACCAAACUCUUGUUAUUUAACCGGUCGUCUGAGUUAAAAUUUUGAAUAAAUCAAAACUUUCAACAACGGAUCUCUUGGUUCUCGCAUCGAUGAAGAACGCAGCGAAAUGCGAUAAGUAAUGUGAAUUGCAGAAUUCAGUGAAUCAUCGAAUCUUUGAACGCACAUUGCGCCCCUUGGUAUUCCGAGGGGCAUGCCUGUUCGAGCGUCAUUACACCACUCAAGCUAUGCUUGGUAUUGGGUGCCGUCCUUAGUUGGGCGCGCCUUAAAGACCUCGGCGAGGCCUCACCGGCUUUAGGCGUAGUAGAAUUUAUUCGAACGUCUGUCAAAGGAGAGGACUUCUGCCGACUGAAACCUUUAUUUUUCUAGGUUGACCUCGGAUCAGGUAGGGAUACCCGCUGAACUUAAGCAUAUCAAUAAAGUCG